rnacentral:rRNA from 1 species
UUCCUACGGGACGCAGAAGUGGGGGAUAUUGCACAAUGGGGGGAACCCUGAUGCAGCGACGCCGCGUGGGUGAAGGAGCGUUUCGGCGCGUAAAGCCCUAUCGGCAGGGAAGAAGAUGACGGUACCUGUCCAAGAAGCCCCGGCUAACUACGUGCCAGCAGCCGCGGUAAUACGUAGGGGGCAAGCGUUAUCCGGAUUUACUGGGUGUAAAGGGGGCGCAGACGGCAAUGCAAGCCAGGAGUGAAAGCCCGGGGCCCAACACCGGGACUGCUCUUGGAACGGCAUGGCUGGAGUCCAGGAGGGGG